rnacentral:misc_RNA from 1 species
GAUGAAGAACGUAGCGAAAUGCGAUAAGUAAUGUGAAUUGCAGAAUUCAGUGAAUCAUCGAAUCUUCGAACGCACAUUGCGCCCCCUGGUAUUCCGGGGGGCAUGCCUGUCCGAGCGUCAUUACAACCCUCAAGCUCAGCUUGGUGUUGGGCCCCGCCGCCCCGGCGGGCCCUAAAGUCAGUGGCGGUGCCGUCCGGCUCCGAGCGUAGUAAUUCUUCUCGCUCUGGAGGUCCGGUCGUGUGCUCGCCAGCAACCCCCAAUUUUUUUCAGGUUGACCUCGGAUCAGGUAGGGAUACCCGCUGAACUUAAGCAUAUCAAUAAGCGGAGGA